CUGAUUAUGUGUUUAGACCAGUUUAUUUGUGUAAUGUUAAACACUGUUUCAAAUUGAUUUCUAAUAAUAAGCAUAUUAGUUAUUCUACUAUAAAUGAUAGUUUUAAGAAGAAGUUCAGUCUAUUGGGUUAUGUUUCUUCUAAAUAUGGACUUCAUUCUUUUCGUGCUGGUGGAGCAUCUAUAAGUGCCAAUAAUAAGACUGUGGAUAGACUUUGGCAAGGACAUGGUAGAUGAAAAAGUGUUUCCACUAAGGACGGAUAUGUUAAAGAUUCUUUGAAAGACAGAUUAUCGGUGUCGCUAAAUUUAGAUUUGUGAAAAGUCAUUAUUAAUGUAUGUGUGAUUUGAAAUGUAUGAUGUGUUGUUCGUAGCACAUUUAAAGACACUAUACUACAUUAUUAUAUAAAUGGUUUGGAAAUGCUUUUGAGUAUUAUUAAGUUCUGUGUUUGUGUUGUGAGUAUGUUCCUUGUGGUCAUUGGACCAAUUUGUUUACGGCCAUUUGGCCUCAUUUGGUAAGCCAGUUGGCUUGUAUGGUCAGUUGACCGUUUUUUAAAGCAAGUUGAUCUGAUGUGUGUUCACAUGGAAUUAACAAUCUUUGCAAGUUUAUUUUUUGCAGUGCAGUAACUGGACAGUACGAAUGGUAUAUUAAGUAUUGGAGAACAUAAAGUUAAAACACAGUUCGAGAGGUAUAUAACGUGGUGGAGAAUAUUUGGGUAUUCAUUUUAUGUUUCAUAUUAUUUGUAUUCUCUCUUUGUUUUAUUCGAAAGUCCUGUCAAAUACAAGCACUCACUCCUA